rnacentral:rRNA from 1 species
AACGGCGAGUGAAGCGGCAAAAGCUCAAAUUUGAAAUCUGGCUCCUUUGGGGUCCGAGUUGUAAUUUGUAGAGGAUGCUUCGGGUGCGGCCACGGCCUAAGUUCCUUGGAACAGGACGUCAUAGAGGGUGAGAAUCCCGUCUUGGGUCGUUGGUCCACGCCCGUGUGAAGCUCCUUCGACGAGUCGAGUUGUUUGGGAAUGCAGCUCUAAGCGGGUGGUAAAUUUCAUCUAAAGCUAAAUAUUGGCCGGAGACCGAUAGCGCACAAGUAGAGUGAUCGAAAGGUUAAAAGCACCUUGAAAAGGGAGUUAAACAGCACGUGAAAUUGUUGAAAGGGAAGCGCUUGCGGCCAGACUCAGGUGCAGGGUUCAGCGGGUGCGUGUCACCUGUGUACUCCUUGCUGCCUGGGCCAGCAUCAGUUCUGACGGCCGGUCAAAGGCCCCUGGAAUGUGUCGUCUUUCGGGACGUCUUAUAGCCAGGGGUGCAAUGCGGCCUGUUGGGACUGAGGAACGCGCUUCGGCUCGGAUGCUGGCAUAAUGGCCGUAAGCGGCCCGUCUUGAAACACGGACCAAGGAGUCUAACAUCCACGCGAGUGUUCGGGUGUCAAACCCGUGCGCGCAGUGAAAGCGAACGGAGGUGGGAGCCUUAGGGCGCACCAUCGACCGAUCCUGAAGUCUUCGGAUGGAUUUGAGUAGGAGCGUGGCCGUUGGGACCCGAAAGAUGGUGAACUAUGCCUGAAUAGGGUGAAGCCAGAGGAAGCUCUGGUGGAGGCUCGCAGCGGUUCUGACGUGCAAAUCGAUCGUCAAAUUU